rnacentral:rRNA from 1 species
AUUGAACGCUGGCGGCAUGCUUUACACAUGCAAGUCGAACAGUAACAGGUCUUCGGAUGCUGACGAGUGGCGAACGGGUGAGUAAUACAUCGGAACGUGCCCGAGAGUGGGGGAUAACGAGGUGAAAGCUUUGCUAAUACCGCAUACGAUCUCAGGAUGAAAGCAGGGGACCGCAAGGCCUUGCGCUCACGGAGCGGCCGAUGGCAGAUUAGGUAGUUGGUGGGAUAAAAGCUUACCAAGCCGACGAUCUGUAGCUGGUCUGAGAGGACGACCAGCCACACUGGGACUGAGACACGGCCCAGACUCCUACGGGAGGCAGCAGUGGGGAAUUUUGGACAAUGGGCGCAAGCCUGAUCCAGCCAUGCCGCGUGCAGGAUGAAGGCCUUCGGGUUGUAAACUGCUUUUGUACGGAACGAAAAGACUCUGGUUAAUACCUGGGGUCCAUGACGGUACCGUAAGAAUAAGCACCGGCUAACUACGUGCCAGCCGCCGCCGUAAGAC